UCCCUGGUGGCCUAGUGGCUAAGGCUCCAUGCUCCCAUGCUCGCAAUGCAGGAUACCUGGGUUCAAUCCCUGGUCAGGGAA
rnacentral:tRNA from 1 species